UCCCGGGUAGCUCAGUUGGUAAAGAAUCUGCUUGCAAUGCAGGAGACCCAGGUUCAAACCCUGGGUGGAGAA
rnacentral:tRNA from 1 species